AACGAACGCUGGCGGCAUGCCUAACACAUGCAAGUCGAACGAGAUCCUUCGGGGUCUAGUGGCGCACGGGUGCGUAACGCGUGGGAAUCUGCCCUUAGGUUCGGAAUAACAGUUAGAAAUGACUGCUAAUACCGGAUGAUGACGUUAAGUCCAAAGAUUUAUCGCCUGAGGAUGAGCCCGCGUAGGAUUAGCUAGUUGGUGUGGUAAAGGCGCACCAAGGCGACGAUCCUUAGCUGGUCUGAGAGGAUGAUCAGCCACACUGGGACUGAGACACGGCCCAGACUCCUACGGGAGGCAGCAGUGGGGAAUAUUGGACAAUGGGCGCAAGCCUGAUCCAGCAAUGCCGCGUGAGUGAUGAAGGCCUUAGGGUUGUAAAGCUCUGUUACCCGAGAUGAUAAUGACAGUAUCGGGAGAAUAAGCCCCGGCUAACUCCGUG
rnacentral:rRNA from 1 species